GUCUCGUGAACACCGUACUGUUUCCGCCUCAGUACACUGAAGAUCUAAGAAAACACUUCACACCCUACAACCCCUAAAAAUAACCCAGAUUUGACAGCAGUGCACAGCCAUCUGAGGCCGACCUGUUUUACUUCAUGAUCACCCCAGAUACUUCUACAACUAACCCGCUUUGUAAGUUCUCAUAGCUACACCUUAAAGAAGCACAUAAUUUUGGGAACAUUUCCUGUGUAUUUGCUGGUAAAUUACUGAGAUACUUUU